rnacentral:tRNA from 1 species
GGAGAAGUACUCAAGUGGCUGAAGAGGUGCCCCUGCUAAGGGUAUAGACCGUUUACGCGGUGCGAGGGUUCAAAUCCCUCCUUCUCCG